rnacentral:tRNA from 1 species
GUUUUUAUAAUUUAAGAAAAAUAUUAGUCUUGUAAACUAAAAAUAAGAAACCCUUUAAAAACA